UACGUAGGGGGCAAGCGUUGUCCGGAUUUAUUGGGCGUAAAGAGCGUGUAGGCGGCUUUGCAAGUCCGUUGUGAAAACUCGAGGCUCAACCUCGAGACGCCGGUGGAAACUGCAAAGCUAGAGUCCGGAAGAGGAGAGUGGAAUUCCUGGUGUAGCGGUGAAAUGCGCAGAUAUCAGGAAGAACACCCGUGGCGAAGGCGGCUCUCUGGGACGGUACUGACGCUGAGACGCGAAAAGCGUGGGGAGCGAACAGG
rnacentral:rRNA from 1 species